UCCAAGCUUAGUUCAGUGGUUGGAAAAUAGUAAACAGUUAACAACAAUAAUAGCACAGUGCUUGUUACACAUUUGCCAAAAUUCUGGGAGUUUUCAUUGCUGAGGCUACAUUUUGUGAAUCAAGUUUCCCUGACAAAAGAAAUGACAACCCUUACCUGCUGCAUCCAGAGGAUGAAGAUCCCAGUUUAACCGGCAGCAUGGAUGCCAUCAAC